rnacentral:rRNA from 1 species
UACGGGGGGGGCAAGCGUUGUUCGGAAUUACUGGGCGUAAAGGGCGCGUAGGCGGUUCGCUAAGUUGAAUGUGAAAACUCUGGGCUUAACCCAGAGCCUGCAUUCAAUACUGGCGGGCUAGAGUUCUGGAGGGGAUAGCGGAAUUCCUGGUGUAGCGGUGAAAUGCGUAGAUAUCAGGAGGAACACCUGUGGUGUAGACGCUUUCUGGACCAUAGCUGACGCUGAGACACGAAAGCGUGGGUAGCAAACAGG